UACGAAGGGGGCUAGCGUUGUUCGGAAUUACUGGGCGUAAAGCGUAUGCAGGCGGACUUUUAAGUCGGGGGGUGAAAUCCCGAGGCUCAACCUCGGAACUGCCUUCGAUACUGGAAGUCUUGAGUCCGGGAGAGGUGAGUGGAACUCCGAGUGUAGAGGUGAAAUUCGUAGAUAUUACGGAAGAACACCAGUGGCGAAGGCGGCUCACUGGCCCGAUACUGACGCUGAGGCACGAAAGCGUGGGGAGCAAACAGG
rnacentral:rRNA from 1 species